rnacentral:rRNA from 1 species
GACGAACGCUGGCGGCGUGCUUAACACAUGCAAGUCGAACGGAAAGGCCAUGCUUUUGUGGGGUGCUCGAGUGGCGAACGGGUGAGUAACACGUGAGUAACCUGCCCUUGACUUUGGGAUAACUUCAGGAAACUGGGGCUAAUACCGGAUAGGAGCUCCUGCUGCAUGGUGGGGGUUGGAAAGUUUCGGCGGUUGGGGAUGGACUCGCGGCUUAUCAGCUUGUUGGUGGGGUAGUGGCUUACCAAGGCUUUGACGGGUAGCCGGCCUGAGAGGGUGAACGGCCACAAUGGGACUGAGAGACGGACCAGAAUCGUACGGGAGGCAGCAGUGGGGAAUAUUGCACAACGGGCGGAAGCCUGAUGCAGCAACGCCGCGUGCGUGAUGACGGCUUUCGGGUUGUAAACCGCUUUCGCCUGUGACGAAGCGUGAGUGACGGUAACGGGUAAAGAAGCACCGGCUAACUACGUG